rnacentral:rRNA from 1 species
CGUGUAGGCGGCCAGGUAGGUCUGCUGUGAAAACUCGAGGCUUAACCUCGAGCUGUCGGCGGAAACCAUCUGGCUAGAGUCCGGAAGAGGAGAAUGGAAUUCCCGGUGUAGCGGUGAAAUGCGCAGAUAUCGGGAAGAACACCCGUGGCGAAGGCGGUUCUCUGGGACGGUACUGACGCUGAGACGCGAAAGCGUGGGGAGCGAACA